UCCUCCCUCUGGCGGCGUGCUUAACACAUGCAAGUCGAACGGAAAGGCCCUGCUUUUGUGGGGUGCUCGAGUGGCGAACGGGUGAGUAACACGUGAGUAACCUGCCCUUGACUUUGGGAUAACUUCAGGAAACUGGGGCUAAUACCGGAUAGGAGCUCCUGCUGCAUGGUGGGGGUUGGAAAGUUUCGGCGGUUGGGGAUGGACUCGCGGCUUAUCAGCUUGUUGGUGGGGUAGUGGCUUACCAAGGCUUUGACGGGUAGCCGGCCUGAGAGGGUGACCGGCCACAUUGGGACUGAGAUACGGCCCAGACUCCUACGGGAGGCAGCAGUGGGGAAUAUUGCACAAUGGGCGGAAGCCUGAUGCAGCAACGCCGCGUGCGGGAUGACGGCCUUCGGGUUGUAAACCGCUUUCGCCUGUGACGAAGCGUGAGUGACGGUAAUGGGUAAAGAAGCACCGGCUAAGUACGUG
rnacentral:rRNA from 1 species